rnacentral:tRNA from 1 species
GCGGAAGUAGUUCAGCGGUAGAACACCUCCUUGCCAAGGAGGGGGUCGCGAGUUCGAAUCUCGUCUUCCGCUCCA